rnacentral:rRNA from 1 species
AUUGAACGCUGGCGGCAGGCUUAACACAUGCAAGUCGAGCGAGAGGCGGACGGGUGAGUAAUGUAUGGGGACUGCCCGAUAGAGGGGGAUAACUACUGGAAACGGUGGCGAAUACCGCAUACUAUCGGAUAACCCAUAUGGGAUUAGCUAGUAGGUGGGGUAAAGGCUCACCUAGGCGACGAUCUCUAGCUGGUCUGAGAGGAUGAUCCGCCACACUUAGACUGAGACACGGCCCAGACUCCUACGGAGGCAGCAGUGGGGAAGAUUGCACAGUUGGCGCGAGCCUAAUGCCGCCAUGCCGCGUGUAUGAAGAAGACCUUAGGGUUAUAAAGUACUUUCAGCGGGGAGGCGUUACCCGCAGAAGAAGCACCGGCUAACUCCGUGCCAGCAGCCGCGGUAAUAC